rnacentral:rRNA from 1 species
UACGGGGGGGGCAAGCGUUGUUCGGAAUUACUGGGCGUAAAGGGUUCGUAGGUGGCCUGCUAAGUCAGACGUGAAAUCCCUCAGCUUAACUGGGGAACUGCGUCUGAGACUGGUGGGCUUGAGUGCAGGAGAGGAACGCGGAAUUCCAGGUGUAGCGGUGAAAUGCGUAGAUAUCUGGAGGAACACCGGUGGCGAAGGCGGCGUUCUGGACUGUUACUGACACUGAUGAACGAAAGCCGGGGGAGCAAACGGG